GUGGAUUAUAAGGUCAUAAACCUUUGAUGUCCAUUAAGAAAAUAAGUCCUUUAUAAGCCUCAUGAACAGAGAGUAAGGUGAGAUGGACUGCAAACCACUCUUGUGUGAUUGGAUUAUGACCUUAAAGUGCCUCUUUCUGCUCAUUUCCAGCUCAAUGUUUGUAUUCCUGGUCUCUUAGUAGAGUAACUUUGAAUGAUUAAUAGUUCAGGAUGCUCAUUAUCUACUUUAUACUGUCCUUCAUGCAACCAUUGAGUUCAUCCACUGAUGGAAAUGGGUUGUUUUUACCUUCUGUCCCUUUGAAGGGACAGAAGGUGUCUGGUCAAUUCUUUCACUUCUUCACUUCUCAUUAGUACACAGGGAUCUGAGAGUCCCCAUCAAGGCUUUCCCCAAACCGCAGCUCUGAUUAAGUCAUUCACUGUAAAACAGUGUAAAACACUGCCAAACCUAAAAAGAGGAUGUGGGCCCAGCCAUAGCUGGACUGGCCAUCGGGCAUACCGGGCAGUUGCCCGGUGGGCCGCUGGCGAUUUUUUGUUUUUAUGGGCCGAUGGAUUUAUUUUUUUUUUUUUAGGAAGGGUGUAUAUAAUGAAAAGUGUUGGAUUGGCCAAUUGGUCAUGAUCGACUCUGGGCUGGACCAAUUACAGCCGAGGAGGCCGAAUGCACCCGCCCCCUUGUUUAGCAAUCACGUGAUUUUUCGCGCAUUGCAUGCCGGGAACUCGUGGCGAAACAAUCCAAGUACCGCAUCAAAUGCAAGCAUUUGCAGCACCACAAAACGUUCAUUCUCCGGUUCCAAUACCUUCUUGUUUUUUCUUUGCCGCACAAAAAAGGAAUGUACAAAACAAAAGGAGAACAAUGCCGGUCCGUACAAAGACAGACUCGACGAAAAGACAAAGAAAAGAUACGAGGAAAAAAUCAAAGGUGUGAAAGGGUCAGACCCUUACGAGCACACAGAGUGGACAAAGGACGUUAGCAUGCUGCCCAACUUUCACCACGCUCAGAUUUAUAAUUACACGGUUCUUGGAGUGAGUGCAUG
ensembl:lncRNA